rnacentral:rRNA from 1 species
UACGUAGGGCGCAAGCGUUGUCCGGAAUUAUUGGGCGUAAAGAGCUCGUAGGCGGCUUGUCACGUCGGGUGUGAAAGCCCCGGGGGCUUAACCCCGGGUCUGCAUUCGAUACGGGCAGGCUAGAGUGUGGUAGGGGGAGAUCGGAAUUCCUGGUGUAGCGGUGAAAAUGCGCAGAUAUCAGGAGGAACACCGGUGGCGAAGGCGGAUCUCUGGGCCAUUACUGACGCUGAGGAGCGAAAAGCGUGGGGGAGCAAAACAGG